rnacentral:rRNA from 1 species
UACGUAGGGGGCAAGCGUUGUCCGGAUUCAUUGGGCGUAAAGAGCGUGUAGGCGGCCAGGUAGGUCGGUUGUGAAAACUGGAGGCUCAACCUUCAGAGGUCGACCGAAACCAUCUGGCUAGAGUCCGGGAGAGGAGAGUGGAAUUCCUGGUGUAGCGGUGAAAUGCGCAGAUAUCAGGAGGAACACCGAUGGCGAAGGCAGUGAUCUGGGCCGGUACUGACGCUGAGGAGCGAAAGCGUGGGUAGCAAACAGG